CUUUUGAAGUACAUUGUAAGCCCAGAAGGAAGUUUAGUUAUAACCCUAUGAUAUGGUUUGGCUGUGUCCCCACCCAAAUCUCAUCUUGAAUUGUAGCACCCAUAAUUUCCACAGGUCAUUAGAGGGACUGGAUGAAAGGUAGUUGAAUUAUGGGGCUGGUUACCUCCAUGCUGUUCUCAUUAUAGUGAGUGAGUUCUCACAAGAUCUGAUGGUUUUACAAGGGGCUUCCCCCUUUGCUCGGCUCUUCUCCUUCCUGCCACCAUGUGAACAAGGAAACAUUUGCUUCUGCCUUCAACAUGAUUGUAAGUUUCCUGAUGCCUCCACAGCCAUGUGGAACGUAAACAAGACUGAAGCCCAUUUGAAGCCAUGAAUAAAAAACAGAAUCAGUUGCUAAACCCUGCAGCCUUGAACCUGUACCCAUUAUGGGACCUGAAUUCCUAUAUGGACACAAAGAGUAUGAAAAUUCCAAGCCCAGAACUUGAGCAAACACUGAAAUGAGGCUCUUGCCUUUCCCAGGGCUCCACAGAGGUACUCAAGAUUUCUAUUUGGCCCUUUAAUAUCUGCUUAGCCUUUCUUUUUAACAUAAUUUAUUGUUUGUACAUUAUUUUCUAUUUUUUCUUAAUUUCCCUGAAUAUUUAAACACACUCAUUUUAAGAUUACAUUCUUUUUAUACUAAUCUGAAGUUCCUUGGAUGUAGACAGAAAGUCUACACCACUCAGAACACACAUAGUAACAUUAUCCAUUCCAAAAUGUGCUCACGAAAAGUAUCUAUGAUGCCAAAAGGAAACCAAAUGAGAGAAAAUCAGAAGAAAAGGAAAGGGAACAAAUUGGCUGUGCGCGGUGGCUCAAGCC
rnacentral:lncRNA from 10 species